rnacentral:lncRNA from 1 species
GACAGACGCGUUGUGAGGGCGGUAGGCGUAGGUCGUGAUACGCUGUAGCAUGGGCACUACGAGCUUGAUUUUAUGUUACAAUCAAUGAAUUAAUUGAACGUAUAUUCGCUGGUGAGCAGAAAAUAAUCCAUUGAAGAGGACAAAGAACACUCAACAUGAUAAGCAUGAAUACAAUGAGCGUGAUGAUCAGUAUAUUACUGCUAUCACUGGCCCUUCACGCUUGCCAUGCAGAAAAUAACAGCACUAACACAACUGACGUCAUCUCGAAUCGCGCUGAUGGUGUGGUCAGAGAGCAGAUCUUACCUUUGGCAAUUCCACCACUGGAUUUAAAUAAACUUCAACAGGCAGCCAACACUGCAGGGGGACUAGGCUGGAUAUUAUGCCCAGCCAUCCAGGGGCUGCUGGACGCGUUCGACAAGUUUAAAGACAAGGCAGUGCUGGGUGUUGUGAUCGCCAUACUCGUGCUCGAGAUUAUUGCUGUGGCGCUCGUCGGCUACUUGAUCAUUAACAGCAAAAACAGCGCCGAAACGACACCAGAGUUCUACGCCGCCAUCCCGGUACCCGGAGCUGGACUCGGUGCACAGCGCCGUAGAUAUGAUCCCCACGCACCCUCAGAACUUUCCAUGGAUAAGGCCAUGGAAAACUUAUCUAAAGCACGUGAUGCAUACACGUAGUAGGGCAGAGGAAAAAUGAUUGAAAUCCUUGAGUUAUGUGGUAUUUGGUGUUGAAUCGUGAAAGUUAUGUAAGUAUUUAGAUCGUAUUUAUUAUAGAAUAGGUCAAUAUCGGUGUUUUAAAGUUUAAACCCACUUGUAUAAAAGACAUAAUAGCAGAGCGUAUGAUAGCACUUAUUAAAUACUGAUGAAACGAGAAUGUCUAUACUGUUUAGCUUGAACAACUCAAUUGCUCAUGUUCUCGUCAUUUAAAAAAAAAUAAUCAAUUAAAAGCACCAAUUAACUCGUUCCGUUCUGCCAACGAAAUCGAUUAGCGGGAAACAAAUUUUCUUGCAAAUUUAUGAUGUAUAACAUGUACGCGACGAUAAAGCAGCAUAGAAACGCAUUAUUUGUGCAGCUACGGACUGUUUCUAACCGCCAAGCCCACAUGCCUGCAUUUAUUAGAUUCAAAUACGACUUUUCUUCAUUAAUUGAAGGAUAUAAUUUCAUCUUCAGUCCUAAGUACAACACGCUUCCAAUCCGGUGAUGUCUGGCCUUGCGUAAUACAGCGAGAAGAAAGGAACGUAACCAGCCAUCGGAUAUGGACAGACAUCAUAAAUUGAGAAAUCAGGCUGAACGACAUCCUCUUCACCAAAAAGUUUCAAUUUCUGACGACUUACCUGCAUCGUUUCUACUGACGCUUCAAAUGCUGACAGCAGACUGACCUGGACCAUUUUUCUGAAGCGUCAACUGCUGAAAUCUGGCUAAUCUAAACCAUUUUACUAAAGCUUCAACUGCUAACGACUGACUGACCAGAACCAAUUUGCUGAAGCUUCAACUGCUGACGACUGACUGAGCAGAACCAUUUUACUGAAGCUUCAACUACUGACCUCUGACUGACAUGGAUCAUUUUACUCAUGCUUCAAGGACUGAUAUUUGACUGACCUGGACCAUUUUACUUAAGCUCCAACUGCUGACGUCUGACUGACACACUUCAUUUUAACAGGAUUUGAACAUGAUGUCUUUUGACUGAACUGUCACUCAGGGCUUUAAAACAAUUCCAAUAAAACCGAAAUUUAGAUACUGUGGCCAGCCGUGAUGUUAUGCCGUGUUGAUUAACUAGAGCUGUAGCACUGUGUGAUUUAUAACUGUUACUCAAUAUGUAUUAGAACUAACAUGAUAUGUGUUUUUAAAACGUUGCCUUGUGGGUAAUAGAAAAUCAUGAUGUACUAAAGUUGUUGGUAUAUGUGUAAUAGAACUUCUACUGUGGUUGUACUAGAAUUGUACAACCACAGUUAAUAGGAAUGCGACUGUGGUUGUUCUAGAGUUUUUGCUAUAUGUAUAAUAGGAAUGUUACUCCGUUUGGCUAGAAUAAUUGUUGCUAUGUGCGUAAUAGGAAUGCGAUUGUGGUUGUUCUAGAAUUUUUGCAAUAUGUAUCAUAAGAAUGUUACUCCGUUUGACUAGAAUUGUUGGUAUAUGUGUAAUAGGAAUUUACAACGUUUGUAAUAGUAUUAAUGCUUAUUGUGCAAAAGAACUGAUAUUAUAGGAGUACCAGAAGUGCCGCGAUGAGUAUGAGUUUAUUGUGGUAGUACCAAAACCGUAACUACCACGCAGUAAACCAAGCGUAAAUGGUAGCUACGUCAGUAAUAGUUUCCAAUGGUUGCAAACAGUUAUUUACAUUGUAUAGAACAUAGGAUUAAUCUAGGCAAUCGCAGGUAAGGUAAAAAAUGAAUAUUUAUUGAAAGUCGUGAUUUUUAUUCAUGUGAGUUGGUUUAUGAAUAUCAUGAAUUAAGUUCAUGAUUUCUGUUAGAUGAGAGUUUUUCCAUCCGCUACAAUUUUCAUACAGUUUUUCGCUAGGAAACAUGAAACAAGUUUCUGUCUGACUUAAUUAAGAAGCAUGCCGAUUUCGAAAAAAUUCCUCAUGAUCGAGGUAGACAAAAAAAAUAUUUUUGGUUCACUGUCAGAUCGUAAUUUUGUGAACAGUUCUUUUUCAUAAUAAGUGUUUUUUCCUAAUCAUUGUUUUGGCACUUCAUGAUUUAAACGUGGUUUUACCGCAACCAGCUAGCUACAUUCUUUGGACUGAUGACUUUGCUAAGCAUCAUAAACAAUAUUACAUUUUUCAGCCGGGGAAUACGGCACCGACUUCGACCAGAAGUUGAUAUGUUGGCCGACGUAUGAGUUUCGAUCUUUUCUUCUCUGUAGCUGGUAAUUAAGUUAAUUUUAUGUGUGGAGCAAGCGUUUUUCUAACGGUAGUUCAAUAGAAAUGUGGUACAUCGUACUUUCAAAUUACCAAUCAAUACUUUCAAAUGACUGAAAUACCGGUCUUACUGUCUGGAGUUUUUCGAACUGUAUAGACUAUUUACUUCGAUAAUAAUUUGUUGAUGCCAUUGGAUGUUCUCCCAUGCGAUGUCAUAUCAAUCAAGCAAAAAUCAUUGUUCAUGAAAGAAGGUCAUAAAAGUAAUGCAAAAUUUUGAUGGCAGGCCUGUCAUGCACAUUGGACGUUAAGUUCACCGAUCAAAUUUGAUUCUUCACUUAGCUGAAUGCUGUCACAAACAUGAUAAAACUUUAGAAAAAUAAUACUAAGCAUAUGACUUUGAUGUAGAGCCAAAAGCAAUGAUGAAAAUUUACCGAAAUUUAACACAGAAAAAUUCGAUUGAAAUUGGAUUGAAAAAUUAAAGUCCAAUUUCGCCUUAAAAAUUUAUAGUUUUUUGUCUGCAUCUAAAGCGUCUAUUUCGUCUGCAAAAAGGAGCGCCGCUAGUAGGCGAUAAGUGGACGAGUUAGCAUUUCUGGUGAUUGCCUUUCGUUUGCCGUGUCGCUGUAGUCGAUCAGAUGGAGAAUAUCGAGAUGCAUUACCUCUGUGGUUUGUCUUCUUACCUGCUCGCAUCUUCUAUUUCAAGCGAAUCGAUCAAUUGUGCUAUUGAAUUAUUUUGAGAGCGUGAAGUGAGAUGUUCGUUCCCAUUCGUGGGUAAAUUUUCACUAUCGCUCAAUGGACUUUGGCGAGAAAGAAAAGGUUCGUCGAGUAAUGAAUCUGUUUCGUGAUUGAAUUCUU